UAAUGGGAAGGGGGAAAUUAGGGUUCAACUGUUGUGACGAUCCUAAUUCUAAGCUCUCAAACUGAAUUCCUCUCUUUCUCACGGUGGCGACGGCGCCGCUCUCGAACCCUUUCUCCGACUAAAAAACCGACGAACAUCACCGUGAACAACUAAACUACCCUGCCUUCGGUUCAUUUCUUGCAUUCCUUUCGUUAAUUUCACCUUAUUCUCCCUAAAUCUUGGCAAAAUCAAAUAGAAACCCUAAGCAUAAAAUUCCAAUUGCAUAGUAGCAAUCGACCUAUGAAGCCUUAGGUUUAUGAUUCGUGGAGCUUCAAUCUACACAGAGGCAUGAAGGAGACAAAGGACGAAUGAAGAUAAAGGGAGUUCCAAGGCUUACCUACCGGAGCAGUUCCGGUGACUCUUCAAUGACGGCCGAGAAUAUAAAGAAAUCCAGAGGUUAAUAUUGUGAACCAGGGGUGAUUCUCAUGGUCAAUAACACAGUGACUUAUAACGUUCACCAAAUGCCUAUUCCUUAAAUAAAGUUUAAAAGCUUGAAGAGCAAGGCUGCAACAUGGAAUGGUAGUGUACUGAAGGCUCGAAGAAACAAGGAUGCGUUGGUUUCAGACUCGAAGUGAAGAGUUACAAGGCGGGAUCAAGAGAAGUCAAAGUACGGCAAGGCUGGGAGUUUAGAGCUGGUUGACGAGACACGACUUCAAGGCUAAUAGAAUAGGAUAUUGAACUGUUAUGCCUUGAGUAGGGUACAUGCAGGAUGGAAUUUGAUUAUGGGAAAGGUCUGUUAAUGGUAAUGAAAGUAGGUGGCACGGUUUAGGAUUGAUAGCUUAAGAGGUAAAUGUGCACCUGUAAUAACUUGUAAUUCAAUGAAUGAAAUAAACACUUUCUCUUCUUUUCUCUUUUUAA